AUCACUUCUCGGCCUUUUGGCUAAGAUCCAAUUGGUAUCUGUUCUUAAUCAGUUUAAUAUCUGAUACGUCCUCUAACUGAGGACAAUAUGUUAAAAGGAUUUUUGGAGCAGGGAGUUGGAAUAGGGGAUCAACCUGAUAUUGCACUACUUCCAGGAAUAGUGUACCCUCA
rnacentral:snRNA from 1 species